rnacentral:rRNA from 1 species
CUGCUCAAUGAAUAUAAAUUUUUUUAAAUAGCUGCAGUAUAAAUAACUGUACAAAGGUAGCAUAAUAAUUUGUUUUUUAAUUGAAAACUAGAAUGAAUGAUUAAAUGAAAUAUAAACUGUAUCAAAUUUAAAAAAUAAAUUUAUUAUUUAAAUAAAAAAAUUUAAAUAAUUUUUAAAGACGAGAAGACCCUAUAGAAUUUUAAUAAUAAAUUAUUAUAAAUUAUUUAUAAUUUAUUAUAUUAAUUGGGGAAAUUUUAAAAUUUAAAAAUUUUUAAUUAAAAAAACAUUAAUUUUUGAAUAUUUAAUAUUUUUUAAAAAAAUAAAUUAAUUACCUUAGGGAUAACAGCAUAAUUUUUUUAAAAAGUUCAAAUUUAUAAAAAAGUUUAU